GGGAUUAGCUCAGUGGUUAGAGCUUAGGUCUGGUGACCGGAAGGUCCCGGGAACAAAUCCCGCUAGUGGCA
rnacentral:tRNA from 1 species